rnacentral:rRNA from 1 species
GACUCUCGACAACGGAUAUCUCGGCUCUCGCAUCGAUGAAGAACGUAGCGAAAUGCGAUACUUGGUGUGAAUUGCAGAAUCCCGUGAACCAUCGAGUCUUUGAACGCAAGUUGCGCCCGAAGCAAUCAUGCCGAGGGCACGUCUGCCUGGGCGUCACACAUCG